AGGUGGGGAUCCGGCGUUGGGAGUUGCUGCUGGAAGUCGGCGCGGGUUAGCGGUCACACGCAGCAAGCGCGGGCGGCGGCCGGGCGCAAAGUUGCGAGGAGAGUCCCUAGUCUAAGCCUUUCUGUCGCCCUCCGGCACCGCUAGUACCACGGACUCCACCUUGCCGCGGCCCCUCGGCGACGCGAUGCAGCUGCCACUCGACCAGCUGGGUUCAGAUUCUCCAACCUUCCUGUGGAGCCACACCACCUGCUGUCUUGGCACUUCAUGAGUCCAGUGCUGCUUCCCGAGAGGAUCUGGUUCGUAGACCAUGACCUUGAUUCCUGCCUCCAAGCCUAGCUUUAUUCUCAGCAGCCACCACCUUUUUGGUACUAGAACAGUGCUUUUUCUAGUACAUUCAUAAGUGGAUGCUGAAAUCACAACCUGGCCAUUUGGAUGUUCAACUAAUGCUUUAUGCCGCAGAGUCCCUGGAACUCACCAACCCAUGCUGGAACUCAGCAGAGCUCAGCCAUCUGCUUAUGGCUCUGUGCUGCCACCUGAUGCAUCUACUACCAGAGAAGAAUGAUACAAGCUUACCUUGGAUUGGAUGACCAGCAUGCUCUAAGAAUUAAAGAAGGGGGAGAUAGGGGGACAUGGCAACAUAUUCAAGCUUAUGUACAUGAUAUUUGAAGUCAGGCAUGGAAAAAUACUGAGGCACUGUGUGUAUGCUAUUUGUGCAUGGGAAUGAACCUCCUUGACCCUGAAAACUGCACCAGGAGUGGAGUGUGUGGUGUGUAAGGAACGCUGAAACAGCCUUCCUGAGAAUGCAGUUGGAGUGUGUACAAGGUUACAGGUGCCUCAGUAACCCACCUCAGGUGACCAUCUAGUGGAUGUUUGUAGUUAAUACAAGCCCUUUCAAUAAAUACUUGGUGGGCAGAUGCUGGGGCAGACUCUCUAAGAAAGCUACCCCAUCUCCGCUCAGCUGGAAUUGUAUGAGUACUUGAUUCUCAUCAUUCACUGCAAGAUAUAAG
rnacentral:lncRNA from 1 species